UCUCGUUAGAUCCCCGAAGUCAAGCAUCAUUGGGCGCGGUCAGUACUUGGGUGGGUGACCACCUGGGAACACUGCGUGCCGUU